UUCUAGCUCCUUUGUCUGGCGACCUUGAA
rnacentral:piRNA from 1 species